AUUGCACGCUGGCGGCAGGCCUAACACAUGCCAGUCGAGCGGAGCGGCAGACGGGGGAGUAAUGCCUAGGACUCUGACUGGUAGUGGGGGAUAACGUCAGGAAACGGGCGCUAAUACCGCAUCCUCUCAGAUGACCCUAGGGCGGAUUAGCUAGUGGGGGGGGUAACGGCCUACCAAGGCGACGAUCCGUAACUGGUCUGAGAGGAUGAUCAGGCACACUGGAACUGAGACACGUUCCAGACUCCUACGGGAGGCAGCAGUGGGGAAUAUUGGACAAUGGGCGAAAGCCUGAUCCAGCCAUGCCGCGUGUGUGAAGAAGGUCUUCGGAUUGUAAAGCACUUUAAGCUGGGAGGCGUUACCAACAGAAUAAGCACCGGCUAACUUCGUGCCAGCAGCCGCGGUAAUUC
rnacentral:rRNA from 1 species